CGCCAGCAGCCGCGGUAAUACGUAGGGGGCGAGCGUUGUCCGAAUUUAUUGGGCGUAAAGCGCGUGUAGGCGGCUCUUUAAGUCAGAUGUGAAAUCCUGCGGCUCAACCGCAGAACUGCAUUUGAUACUGGAGGGCUUGAGUGUGGGAGAGGAAAGUGGAAUUCCAGGUGUAGCGGUGAAAUGCGUAGAUAUCUGGAGGAACACCCGUGGCGAAGGCGGCUUUCUGGCCCACCACUGACGCUGAGACGCGAAGGCUAGGGGAGCGAACGGGAUUAGAUACCCCGGUAGUCCUAGCGGUAAACGAUGGAUACUAGGUGUUAGAGGUAUCGACCCCUCUAGUGCCGUAGCUAACGCAUUAAGUAUCCCGCCUGGGGAGUACGGCCGCAAGGUUGAAACUCAAAGGAAUUGACGGGGGCCCGCACA
rnacentral:rRNA from 1 species